rnacentral:lncRNA from 1 species
GCGCGGUGCGCAGCUUGACUGCAGCCAUCCACCAGCAGCUCCUGCAGCCUCGCCUCCUCUUCAGGCCCCGGGAGGACUGCGCGCCCCCCGGGCACGAUGGCACAGUUCCCCACGCCGCAGGAGAGGAGCGGUCCGCCGGGAACCGCGCGGGGCGGGGCUCGGAGGAGGGCGAGCCGGACGCCUCGGGCGCGGACGAUGGGGGCGACAGCAGUGACCAUGACUUCGAGAUGGUGGAUUUGAAUGAGAAAUUCGUCCUUGGUCAGUUGCUCGUGGCCCCCUGCCGGCCCGGGACCUGCUAUGAGGCUGAAAAGCCGGCGCGGGCGUGCAACACCCAUCGUUUGAAGCACCUGAUCCUCGGCGGCCGGCGGCAGCUGCGCGGGAGCCGCGACCUGGAGCAACUGGAGGCAGAGGCCAAGGACGGGCGGGGCUCGCCCCCGGUGGCAGAGGAGCCGCCACGGCGGAGGGCUCGCGAGCACCUCCCCCCGUGGCGGCGCAAGAGGUACCUGGGGUUGCCGGAGCGGGACUCGCCGGGCCACAGCUCGCCCGAGAGGGGCAGUGACUGCAGCUACAACAGCUCCGACCACGAGGACGGCUCCUUGGCAGGUAGGCGCACCCCUCUCUAGAUCCCCGCCGCUCCUGUCCUAGGCCUCGCCUGCUGCUCACUUCCCCGCUCCUCCCUGAGACACUUGGUUGGUCCUGUUUAACCUCAGGCGCCUGGGUAGAAAGGAGAUAAGAUUUACUUGUUUACUUGAAGGCACUUGUGGCACUUAAAAAAAAAAAAUGAUUGUGCAAAGUGUUUUCAGCCUGGGCGAGUUUAAGAAAAUAAGCGUUAUAGAGAUGGGCCGGGCGAUGGAGUGAUGCUCUGGACCAGACCACGGGGAAAAUCUUUCACUUCAGGCCUCAGCCUUUCUGCUCUGUUGCAGUAUCACCGCCUCCCUCCUCCAUCCCCCACUCCCCACCGCGCCCCAACCCAUCCUCUCUUCUGCAGGUGGGUCAGGCUUCCUUGCGCUGGCACUACUUGUAGCCUUCUCUGAACAAACUCCAGUGGCACCCAUCUCCCCCAGAUUGCUUGACGUGGAAGUCUAAAUCUUCCGCUGAAUUUUCUGAACUUAUCUCUCAUCUUCUCCAGCCUGCAGCUUGCACUCUGGCCAACAUGAAAGACCCUCUCACUGAGGAAAAGGUCCAUAAUCCUCACCAGCCUCUUCCUUUGCUGAGUGUUCUCUUCCGAGGAAAGAAGGUGGAAAGGAAUCCGACUCGGAACCAUGAGGUUUCAGGUUUGAUCCCUGGCCUCACUCAGUGGGUUAAGGAUCUGGCAUUGCCAUGAGCUGUGGUGUAGGUUGCAGACGCCGCUCGGAUCUGGCAUUGCUAUGGCUGUGGUGUAGACCAGUAGCUGUAGCUCUGGCUCGACCCCUAGCCUACCAGCCACCCAGCUCAGGUCAGGGAGCGGGAAAGGGGCUACAGACAGGGAGGUGGACGGUCCUGCAACUCACCUUUUGCUGCCCCAGGGACUGUCAGGGUCUCCUCAGCCUUAGGGAAAGCAUAAAUUGUCAUCUGAUUAGGUCAAGCUGUGACCAGGAACUUAAGAUGCCUUCCUGUUCAGAGAAGGAGAGUGGGGGAAAAAAAGGAAUUGCUGACGCUGGGAUUGUUCCAAAGUCUCCAUUAUUAGAUUUUAUCUGGGUGAGCUUGCAUUUGAAUGAAAAACUGUCCACUUUGCUAAAAGCACGUUUGGAAGGGCCAUCAAGUCAUCUUUUGUGAUCAAUUACACUUAUUCAUUGCCAGAGAUUGGCUGCUUUUCCCAUAGGUAGUGCUGCUUUUGCCGCCCAUGCUAGUAACAUUUUUAUAUGCCCCUUUAACUUAGAGUCUGAAGAUUUCACUCUAGCGCCAAGUUCCAAAUGUCCCCAGUGGAGGCUACCCAAGUGGUACAGAGCUGCUUUAGAGCUGGCUCCAAUCCCGUUUCUCCUCAGACCCACAUCAGUCACACUGCCAGGGGUGCCCGAUGCACUGGAUUUUCCCCAGGGAGUGAUUUUUAUUUCUAUUCUGUGCUCCUCUCUCCUUAAGGGCACUCUGGCAUAUAGGAGUGCUUUGAUUCAGAUUAGGGUCUAGCAUUUCCUCUGGCCUAACCAUUUACAAAAGGUGCUUCUUCUGG